GAUCCAGCCAUGCCGCGUGUGUGAAGAAGGCCCUCGGGUUGUAAAGCACUUUCAGUGAGGAAGAACGCCUGGUGGUUAAUACCCAUCAGGAAAGACAUCACUCACAGAAGAAGCACCGGCUAACUCCGUGCCAGCAGCCGCGGUAAUACGGAGGGUGCGAGCGUUAAUCGGAAUUACUGGGCGUAAAGCGCGCGUAGGUGGCUUGAUAAGCCGGUUGUGAAAGCCCCGGGCUCAACCUGGGAACGGCAUCCGGAACUGUCAAGCUAGAGUGCAGGAGAGGAAGGUAGAAUUCCCGGUGUAGCGGUGAAAUGCGUAGAGAUCGGGAGGAAUACCAGUGGCGAAGGCGGCCUUCUGGACUGACACUGACACUGAGGUGCGAAAGCGUGGGUAGCAAACAGGAUUAGAUACCCUGGUAGUCCACGCCGU
rnacentral:rRNA from 1 species